rnacentral:ncRNA from 1 species
UUUUAAACGAUGACAGGGACAGUACAAUUAUUUACAUGUCUUAUAAUAUAUAGCGAACCAAGGAUAGUGAAAGCUUGGUAUAAGCAAAUAAUUGGAACAUCACCCUAGAGUUCUUGAAUUGAACACCUUUAUGGUCAGUAGAUAAUAGCGAAUCAUUCACGAUACGAAUGCUAAGAGGCGGAUAAUCUAUGAUUAUCUACUAGGGUGGUACCGCGGGAAAACCUUCUCGUCCCUUUA